rnacentral:rRNA from 1 species
CCUACCUUAACCCUUCCCCCGUUCGGUUUGGUCCGUUCCGUUCGUCCCCUACCCCGAACCGUAACCGUCCCGGGCCCGGUCCGGUACCCGAACCUAAACUUAAACGUACGAACCUACCUACGGAACGGGGAAAACGGAAACGUACCGGGUAAAGGGGGACGAAACCAAAACGAAGGUUAAGUUAAGAACCUUACCCGUUAGGGUUACGUACCCGACCGGUAACCCGGUAAAACGUAGGUAGGUAACUUAACGGUUAGGGUUGGGUAGGGGGAAGGUUUAGUUACCCGUACCCCCCGUUUCCGGUCCGGCCCGCGUUAAACGUUAACCAACUAAAGUUAAGUACCUACCCCACGGUGGGAGGUACCGGCCACGUAGGUAAGAACACGAAAGUAUGGACGGGGCCCGCACAAGCAGUGGAGUAUGUGGUUUAAUUCGAAGCAACGCGAAGAACCUUACCAGGCCUUGACAUCCCGAUGACCGCUCUAG